rnacentral:rRNA from 1 species
GACGAAGGGGGCUAGUGUUGUUCGGAAUUACUGGGCGUAAAGCGCGUGUAGGCGGUUGCCAUAGUCAGGUGUGAAAGCCUUGAGCUCAACUCAAGAAAUGCACUUGAUACUGGGCGACUAGAGGACCGGAGAGGAUAGUGGAAUUCCCAGUGUAGUGGUGAAAUACGUAGAGAUUGGGAAGAACACCAGUGGCGAAGGCGGCUAUCUGGACGGUUUCUGACGCUAAGACGCGAAAGCGUGGGGAGCAAACAGG